rnacentral:rRNA from 1 species
CCUACGGGUGGCAGCAGUGGGGGAUAUUGCACAAUGGAGGCAACUCUGACGCAGCGACGCCGCGUGGAUGAUGGAGGUCUUCGGCUCGUAAAGUUCUUUUCGAAGGGAAGAAGAAAGUGAUGGUACCUUAAGAAUAAGCCUCGGCUAACUACGUGGCAGCCGCCGCGGUAAGACGUAGGAGGGAAGCGUUAUCCGGAAUUACUGGGUGUAAAGGGGGCGUAGGUGGUUAGACAAGUUAGUAGAGCAACUCCGGAGCACAACUUCGGAACUGCUGAUAAAACUGUUGGGAGGGAGUGCAGGAGGGGCAAGCGGAAUUCCGAGUGUAGCGGUGGAAUGCGUAGAUAUUAGGAGGAACACCAGUGGCGAAGGCGGACUGCUGGACUGUAACUGACGCUGAGGCACGAAGGCGUGGGGAGCAAACAGGAUUAGAUACCCUAGUAGUC